rnacentral:rRNA from 1 species
AGAGUUUGAUCCUGGCUCAGGAUGAACGCUGGCGGCGUGCCUAAUACAUGCAAGUCGAGCGAACAGACGAGGAGCUUGCUCCUUUGACGUUAGCGGCGGACGGGUGAGUAACACGUAGGUAACCUACCUAUAAGACUGGGAUAACUUCGGGAAACCGGAGCUAAUACCGGAUAAUAUUUCGAACCGCAUGGUUCGAUAGUGAAAGAUGGCUUUGCUAUCACUUAUAGAUGGACCUGCGCCGUAUUAGCUAGUUGGUAAGGUAACGGCUUACCAAGGCAACGAUACGUAGCCGACCUGAGAGGGUGAUCGGCCACACUGGAACUGAGACACGGUCCAGACUCCUACGGGAGGCAGCAGUAGGGAAUCUUCCGCAAUGGGCGAAAGCCUGACGGAGCAACGCCGCGUGAGUGAUGAAGGUCUUCGGAUCGUAAAACUCUGUUAUUAGGGAAGAACAAACGUGUAAGUAACUGUGCACGUCUUGACGGUACCUAAUCAGAAAGCCACGGCUAACUACGUGCCAGCAGCCGCGGUAAUACGUAGGUGGCAAGCGUUAUCCGGAAUUAUUGGGCGUAAAGCGCGCGUAGGCGGUUUUUUAAGUCUGAUGUGAAAGCCCACGGCUCAACCGUGGAGGGUCAUUGGAAACUGGAAAACUUGAGUGCAGAAGAGGAAAGUGGAAUUCCAUGUGUAGCGGUGAAAUGCGCAGAGAUAUGGAGGAACACCAGUGGCGAAGGCGACUUUCUGAUCUGUAACUGACGCUGAUGUGCGAAAGCGUGGGGAUCAAACAGGAUUAGAUACCCUGGUAGUCCACGCCGUAAACGAUGAGUGCUAAGUGUUAGGGGGUUUCCGCCCCUUAGUGCUGCAGCUAACGCAUUAAGCACUCCGCCUGGGGAGUACGACCGCAAGGUUGAAACUCAAAGGAAUUGACGG